GCCUGCCGUCCGCAAUUAGGCGGCAGAUGCUUGCCGCCCGGUGGUGGCCUGGGUUCUGCAGGGACUGAGGGGGCUCGUCGGCUUCUCUCCAGGGUGGAUCCCAGCUCUGCUUCCUUUUCCUUCCUUCUCAGACCGUCAGUUUCUCAGCCAGGGAGCUCCAGGCCAGCUGGAGAUCAGGAGAAGAGAGGUGGCCUGCUCAAGGUCACCCGAGCCUCCUCCUACCCGAGUUCCAACGGAGACCGCUGGCUUUGGCCUGGGCAGGGGAGCUGGUGAUUCCUAAGAUCUUCCUUUGGCUUCAGAGAAGUUGGCUUCCUGGCAAGGCUUCCAGGAGAUUCCCACAAGCCAACUGGAGUCCCCCGAGAAAAAGGAAAGAGGGGUUGGACUCCAAGGAUCCAUCCGGCGCCUCCUUUCCACCUCCCGGCUCUGUGUCUGUCACCGGACCAGGGCCUCUGAUUCCCCGUGUGCCCCCAUUGGGUCUUCCGGGGCUGUGCCAGAGGCCUCCUGUCUGGCCAGUACCCCAGGGCGCCACAUCCCCAGGCCGGCCUGCCGGCCUCUCCCCUCGGAGUUCCCACCUGCUUCUCUUAGCGAGAGCUUCCCGCGUCGAGGGCUGGCUCAGUGCCAGGCAGCUGGUUUUCUGCACCAUCGUUUCUCACUGAUGUUGGCAUCAUCAGACUGUCAAAGGCUAAACAGCACCUUUAAGAUGCCUGGCAGCAAGUCCAUCCAGCCCAGGAGAAAAUGGUCCAGGCCAGGGACAUGCUAUUUGUCAGAGAAAAUUACUUGGAUUGCUCCCCACUCCUCAUCCCAGGGUGUGCCCCACCUUCUGAUACUGAAAAGACUCAUCUGGGGUAUCUACACUCUGCAAUUAUUGUGUAGUCCUAGGUAGUGUGCUUAUCUCCAUCAGGAUUCAGUAUCUCCAGCUAUCAGACAAGCUUGGAAGAGCACAGUCCUCAUAGGAGAGUGCAGCAAGCAUUAAACACAGAAUCAAUCUUACUAUACUCACAAAACGGAUUGCCUAAUUCAGGUGCCACAGACGUGGAAGCUCCCAUUAGCCCCAACUGUGGAUCUUGUUUGUCUCAAAACCCC
rnacentral:lncRNA from 1 species